AGGAUUAACGCUGGCGGCGUGCCUAACACAUGCAAGUCGAACGAGGUAGCAAUACCUAGUGGCAGACGGGUGAGUAACGCGUGGUCAACCUACCGUUGAGUGGGGGAUAACUAGCCGAAAGGUUAGCUAAUACCGCAUACGAGUCUCGGGGGCAUCCCUGGGACUUAAAAGGAGCAAUCCGCUCGAUGACGGGACCGCGUCCCAUUAGCUAGAUGGUGGGGUAACGGCCUACCAUGGCACCGAUGGGUAGCUGGUUUGAGAGAGCGACCAGCCACACUGGGACUGAGAAACGGCCCAGACUCCUACGGGAGGCAGCAGUGAGGAAUUUUCCGCAAUGGGCGAAAGCCUGACGGAGCGACGCCGCGUGUGGGAAGAAGGCCUUCGGGUCGUAAACCACUGUCGAAGGGGACGAUAAUGACGGUACCCUUGGAGGAAGCCCCGGCUAACUACGCGCCAGCAGCCGC
rnacentral:rRNA from 1 species